UACGUAGGGGGCAAGCGUUGUCCGGAUUUAUUGGGCGUAAAGAGCGUGUAGGCGGCUAUACAGGUCCGUUGUGAAAACUCGAGGCUCAACCUCGAGACGCCGAUGGAAACCGUAUGGCUAGAGUCCGGAAGAGGAGAGCGGAAUUCCUGGUGUAGCGGUGAAAUGCGCAGAUAUCAGGAAGAACACCCGUGGCGAAGGCGGCUCUCUGGGACGGUACUGACGCUGAGACGCGAAAGCGUGGGGAGCGAACAGG
rnacentral:rRNA from 1 species